UCCUCAUUUAAAUGAGGCAGUCUGUCCUCCGUUGUCUAGCCCGGGUAAGGUUCUUCGCGUUGCGUCGAAUUGAACCACAUGCUCCACCGCUUGUGCGGGCCCCCGUCAAUUCCUUUGAGUUUUAACCUUGCGGCCGUAGUCCCCAGGCGGGGCACUUAAUGCGUUAGCUGCGGCACCGCAGGGGUCAAUACCCGCGACACCUAGUGCCCAUCGUUUACAGCGUGGACUAC
rnacentral:misc_RNA from 1 species